UGGGGAAUAUUGCGCAAUGGGCGAAAGCCUGACGCAGCAACACCGCGUGAGGGAUGACGGCCUUCGGGUUGUAAACCUCUUUCAGCUCCGACGAAGCGAAAGUGACGGUAGGAGCAGAAGAAGCACCGGCUAACUACGUGCCAGCAGCCGCGGUAAUACGUAGGGUGCAAGCGUUGUCCGGAAUUAUUGGGCGUAAAGAGCUCGUAGGCGGUCCGUUGCGUCUGCCGUGAAAACCCGGAGCUCAACUCCGGGCCUGCGGUGGAUACGGGCGGACUAGAGUCCGGUAGGGGAGACUGGAAUUCCUGGUGUAGCGGUGGAAUGCGCAGAUAUCAGGAGGAACACCGGUGGCGAAGGCGGGUCUCUGGGCCGGAACUGACGCUGAGGAGCGAAAGCGUGGGGAGC
rnacentral:rRNA from 1 species